rnacentral:rRNA from 1 species
GGCGGCUCGAGUGGUAACCGUUAUUAUUGGGUCUAAAGGGUCUGUAGCCGGCCGGAUAAGUCUCUUGGGAAAUCCAGCAGCUUAACUGUUGGGCUUUCAGGAGAUACUGUCUGGCUCGAGGCCGGGAGAGGUGAGAGGUACUUCAGGGGUAGGGGUGAAAUCUUGUAAUCCUUGAAGGACCACCAGUGGCGAAGGCGUCUCACCAGAACGGACCUGACGGCAAGGGACGAAAGCUAGGGGCACGAACCG